UCCGUUAACUUUAAUUAUCUUUAUAGUUAUUUUAUUUAAAUUUUAAUAACGGUUUGUCAUUAAAUUAUACUUAAAAAUAAUAAGAUCUAACUAAAAUAAAUAUUUGACUGACGUCAUACUUAACUAUUAGUUGGCACAAGUACUUCAGUUGGUAUUAGACACCAUUCGCUGUCAUGUGAGUUUCGUUCUGUGAGGCUCCUCGUCUAACGACGGGAAAUAAUUGACACUUCGCUUGGUACGCUAGAACGGAAAAGUGGCGGAUGACUGAUUGAAAAGGACGGAAAUUUUAAUACAAUAGUUUCAAGCUUUUAUAAGUGAUAUUUAGUGGCAAAUUAUUGGUGGUGCUUUGGAGAAGCUAGGAGACUAAGUCUUGGGAGAUCCCGGGGGAAUUGGAAGUCAUGUCAUCCGCCACUUGGGGGAAAUCUUAAACUGUAACCAGUCCGUCAGCUCCCCUCACAACUGGGAGCAACCGUUCUACGCCAAGCCAGGUCAUUUGGAGACCAGCCUGGAGAACCUCCCACAUACCUACUUUGUAUCCUGCCCUCUGCACCCCAGAAGGGCAUCGGUAUAUUAAUUGGUACAAGCUAGCACCAUCCCUGUGCUAAUUCGCCUACCAGGGAUUUUGGAAUCCGUAGCAAGGACACUCUCGGGGACCAUUUAGGGUUUGUUUUGGGACACUUAGUAUCUGCUAGUGAUUGUCACUUCCACUAUUACACCACAUUCAUUUUUUGUAUAAGACUCGGGACAUUUAUUUUGAUGAUUAAGUUUUAUAGUUUAUCGCACAUAUUUUGUUUCAAUAUUUAAGUUGCAUAUUGUUUUUAUAUAUCUAUAAUAGUUGAUAGUGUUCCCCAAACCAGUAAACUCUCUGGUCAAAGAGGUUUGAGCUCAGAUCAUCUUUUCCCCAUAUGAGAUUCUCUUUACCUUUAUAUAUUACCUGAAAUUUACUUGUACCAUUUAUUUACUUAAUUAACUUUAUAUUUUUAGUACUAACCUUGCUUGUCUCCACUUAUCAAUUUAAAUUUAUAUACUUUGUCCUCUUAAUUUGCUUAAUUUAUUAAAUUAUUCAUAUAACUUUAACGUACUUUAGCCAAUCAUUCUAAUUAAUUAAACUUAUUUGCUUAACUUUUUACUUAACUUCAUUUAUUUAACUUUUUAAUUAUAUCCCUGGACGCUAUUCCCUUUGAAUAGCUAUCCAUUUUACUUGUGAUAAAUUUUUAGUGACUAUGCGUCGAAGCAACUGAUUUUUAUAUAUCAAGUAGACCGUAGAUUCACAUUAAGGAGGCUGGUGCCUAUUUAACUCUUUGAGAGUUUAUAUUAAUGUUCAUUCGUUUGUAGUUUAGCGUUGCUGUACGUAUUUUAAUCGUACAAUAUUUGGUGAAGGUUGUUAUUUAACCUAGUAUAUGUAAGUUGGGGGUAUGCUUCCUAGAAAAGCUACUCCAAUACUAAUUUAAUAGGUAAUUAUAUUUAUACUUAGAUAGGUAAUUAUUUCCCAUUGUCAUUUUAUAGUUACAUAAUUUGUAUUUUCUAACUCAGAGGUUGUCAAAAAUCUAAGUAGUUAUAUUUAAUAAAUAUUUAUUUGUUUUGUA